ensembl:lncRNA
GGGAGUGCUCCUGCCCCUCUCGGGGAGACCCCAUCUUCUCUGGCAUGCCGGGUGCUCCUGGACUUUGGAUGGGCAGCUCCUGGCAGCCAGGCCCGCAGGGCCCCCCAGGUGUCCCUGGACCACCAGGCCCCCUGGAAUGCCUGGGCUGCAGGGAUUGCCUGGCAUUGACGGUCUGCCAGGACAGCCUGGGCUCACUGCAGAAGUGGGCUCCCUACCCAUUGAGCGGCAGCUCCUGAGGAGCAUCUGCGGGGACUGUGUCCAGGGCCAGAGAACUGUUGCACUAUCCUCCCUAGAAAAGGGAGAGAAGGGAGACCAGGCCAUCCCUGGAGUGCCAGGCCUUGACAACUGCGCCCGGUGCUUCUCCCAGCGGGAGCGCCCAAGAGCCGAGGAGGCCAGGGGAGACAACAUGGAGAAAGAUUCUGAUUGUGCUGGGAGCCCCGGCCUGCCUGGUUCUCCAGGGCUGCCCGGCCAGAGAGGAGAAGAGGGUCCACCUGGCAUGAGGGGCUCCCCGGGUCCUCCAGGCCCUAUUGUAAGUACCAGUGGUGACCUGGCUUGCUUGAGAAGCUUUCACAGGGGUUCUAUUGCUCACACUCCAUUUUGAUGCUUUGUCCCCAAGAAGCUGGGCAGGACAGGAGGGGAGAACAUCCACUGCCCUCCCUUCCCCAUGAGAGUGUCUCUGGGGACGAUGAUCUUCUACCCCCAGGUCCCCUGGAACUGCCCCGCUCUGCCUGUGUGCCUGUGUCCCUGCUUAGCACAGGCCCUCAGGGGCACACCUUUGCCUCCACUUCACUGCUGUUUGUUUUUCACAUGGGCCCAGGUUGCCUAGGCAGCCAGGGGAGGCAUGUGGCCCUCUGGCCAAAUCUCUUCGUGCCCCUACAAGGGGCCAGGGACUGUGAUGGAGCUGCCCUCUGUUGCUCUGUGGGACCAUCUCUGGGGCAAGACUACAAAGACCAGAGCAGGGGCAUCUACCCUGGAGUUCCCUGUGGGGCUGAUAAGGCAGGAAAAGAAAGGGACUAGAAAGACGGGAAGAACUAGCCAUGUGUUCUUUGGAGAAAAAUGUCCAGUGGGAGCCCUCUUGGAGCCCAGAAGCCAUCACUUGGAGGGUGUGGAGAGCCCUGGUUGCCAGGAGGAUGGGCAACAUCGAAAGGAACGGGCUCCCACUCCAGCAAAGGUGUUCAGUAGACUCCGGAGGACAGAGGAUGGGUUGACUCUGAGGCUGUUUGCAUCUCUGCUGAUGGAGGAGCCAUUCUCCCAGGUGCCGAAGGGAGGAGCAGUUUUGUUUGGGACCACGGAGGUCACAAGCCACUUUUUCAGCUGCCUUGAGAAAACGCCCGAGACCUCCCUCCCCCCACUCGCGGCUCCCAAUCCCAGACUGUGCCCCCCAGGCCACCCCAGGAUGACUGUGCUUGUGAGAUGUGACCUGCCUGUUUCUCCCACCAGGGCCCCCAGGUUUUCCUGGUGCUGUUGGCUCCCCUGGAUUGCCUGUAAGAACCUAGCAUUGCUGACCGCCCCCGCCCCCUGCCAGCAAGGUCUCUGUGGCUUUUGCUUGUCCCCCCUGCUGUACCCUCAUACCCCCUCCUCUGUGUUGGUUGUCCUCUGCAGGCACGGUAGCUAACAACACAGGUUCCCUGAGGUCCCAGCAGCCUGGACACCCUCCCAGUUCCUGACUUCUUCCCUUUCUCCCCUCUCCCUCUCCGCCCACCUUCCUUACCUCAUCUUCUCCCUUUCACCUCUAUCACAAUCCCACGUCAUUCCCUGUAAAUCCUCCUGGUCCUGGACUAUUUUACCUUCUUAUUUUGAGCUGGUACCUCUUGGAGCCCCUUUAUUCCAUCCUUCUCACUUCUGCCUCCUGCUUCUCACCACCUGCCGUGUGGAUUGAAGAUUUGCUGAAAGUAGUUCUUGGGGCCCUGCCAGGCACCUGGCUCUGAGCCCGGCAGAGAUGCCAGAGCAUUAGGGCUUCACAUUGCAGGCUGCCCCCGGUUUGCUGCCCUACUGCUUAGCAGGGCUGUCCAGAGGCACCGCAGGGUUUGAAGCCAGCCCUUCCCCUCAUCCUGGAGGAACCCUCAGCUCCCUGCCCUUCCUCCCUCUUCCUUGGCUCCAGUCUCAGCUUGCUUCAAAGCUGGCCACGUGAUACCAGCUAGUUGGGUUUCUGGUGUUUUGGGGCCUUGUCCCUCUGUGCCCAGUGUCUUGGCCUGCUCCUUCUGCUAGGUGUCGUUAAUUGCUCUGCUUUGUCAUCGUCAUAGGUGUGUUUAAGUCACCCCGCCCUCACUGUUGCUCCUGCCUGGGUCACGGAAGCUAACCUCCUGUGUGUCAGACUCACGUUCCCGGGGGCCUGGCUCCUCUCCUCCCAGGCCUGGCCAUGGAGGCUCAUGGAGCACGGCCCCUCCUUGUCACAAUUCCAUCUGUCCCCACGUCCUCAUCUCUGGCCGGGCCUUGUCUGUUUUUGCUUGCUUGGGUGAAGGGGCCAUCUGUCCGUCUAGCCAUCUGUCUUGUGUUAUGAAAAGCUUGGACGUCGUUUCUUGAGGGCAAAGGGAGAAGGGGGCAGAGGAGGUGUUCUUAAUGGUGGGACAGAUCCACAAAGGCCAGGGUGCGGAAUGAGGGGUGGGGCACCAGCUUGGAUUGCAAGUGAAAUCUCUUCCAUGUCCUGAGUGACAGGGAUUGCUCUGGAGGGAGCCCUCCUGUGUCUCUCCCUUACACCUCCCCUACAAAAGGAGGUGAUGUGGGGCUUGGGUGGGACUUGGACAGGUAAGUGUUGGGUAUCUGGUGAUACGCUUUGGUGGGGAGCAUCAGUCUGGGGACGCCCCUCCUAACAGUUACCCCUCUGAAGGAGCACAUCUGAUUUGUACCCCCCAAUGGUGUACCCUAGACUUCCACCAGGUUUCAUACUAGUGACAGUCACUAAAGAGGCAUCCUCUAAGAGCCACCCAGUCAAGCAUACCUCUAUAGCUAGCUGUCUUGGGGGUUAUGCUCAUGAAAGGCUCCCACAUGGGGGGUUCCACCUUACAGUCACCUUCCAAAGGACACUUCAUACAGUCACCUUGCUAGGGCCACUGGUGGCCUCCACCCCUUGCCUAGAAUGGGAGGGGCAAGGGGCAGGGGGCUGUGUGCAGCUCGCCCUCUGCAGUUUCUCAUGGUUUUUCUCUCCAAGGGUCUUCAAGGAGAUCGAGGCCUCCAGGGCCUGACAGGGUCCUCCAGGACAGCCUGGUUACCCAGGUGCCAUGGGCCCUCCAGGACUACCUGGCAUCAAGGGGGAGCGAGGCUACGCCGGGCCAGCAGGAGAGAAGGGGGAGCCGGGCCCACCAGGAUCUGAAGGCCUCCCAGGCUCCCCAGGUCCAGUGGGUCCCCAAGGAGAGCGAGGACCCCAAGGGAAAUCCGUGAGAGAAGGGUGACCAGGGCUUCCAAGGCCAGCCAGGUUUUCCAGGCCCGCCGGGUCCUCCUGGAUUCCCAGGCAAAACUGGAGCACCUGGCCCACCUGGCCCCCAGGCAGAGAAGGGCAGUGAAGGAAUUCUGAGGCCCAACAGGCUUGCCUGGGCCCACCGGGUCACCAGGACCCCCUGGGAUUCAGGGACCUGCAGGGCUGGACGGCCUGGACGGGAAGGAUGGCAAGCCUGGCAUGAGGGGAGACCCUGGUUCUCCUGGCCCCCCUGGACUCAUGGGACCCCCAGGUUUCAAAGGGAAAACAGGACAUCCUGGCCUCCCAGGACCCAAGGGUGACUGUGGCAAACCAGGUCCCCCUGGCAGCAGUGGCCGGCCAGGUGCAGAGGGCGAGCCUGGUGCCAUGGGACCCCAGGGACGACAAGGCUCCCCUGGCCAUAUUGGGGCCUCCAGGGCCUCCAGGCCAGCCUGGUCCAGCUGGGAUCUCUGCAGUGGGCCUAAAAGGAGACCGAGGAGCUUCUGGGGAAAGGGGCCCAGCAGGUAUUCCAGGCCAGCCCGGCCCACCUGGACACCCUGGCCCCCCCGGU